GGAUGCGAUCAUACCAGCACUAAUGCACCGGAUCCCAUCAGAACUCCGUAGUUAAGCGUGCUUGGGCGAGAGUAGUACUAGGAUGGGUGACCUCCUGGGAAGUCCUAGUGUUGCAUUCC
rnacentral:rRNA from 2 species